rnacentral:tRNA from 1 species
AAGGAUUUAAGUUAAUAAAAACUAGUAACCUUCAAAGUUACCAAUAGAAAGAACAUCUAAGCCUUA